UACGUAGGGUCCGAGCGUUGUCCGGAAUUAUUGGGCGUAAAGAGCUCGUAGGCGGUUUGUCGCGUCUGCUGUGAAAACCCGGGGCUCAACCCCGGGCCUGCAGCCGAUACGGGCAGACUAGAGUUCGGCAGGGGAGACUGGAAUUCCUGGUGUAGCGGUGAAAUGCGCAGAUAUCAGGAGGAACACCGGUGGCGAAGGCGGGUCUCUGGGCCGAUACUGACGCUGAGGAGCGAAAGCGUGGGGAGCGAACAGG
rnacentral:rRNA from 1 species